GUAGCCGUGGCCGAGCGGUUAAGGCGCCAGGGUAAGGUCCUGGUAUCUUCGGAUGCGCGAGUUCAAAUCUCGUCGGCUACA